CGGGGUGUGGCCCAGUCCGGUUAAGGCACCUGCUUUGGGAGCAGGGGAUCGCAGGUUCGAAUCCUGCCACCCCGA
rnacentral:tRNA from 1 species